CUCAGCGUGUCCACCAUUAAAACAUUUUGGUUUCAAUGUGAAUUAUCACUAUUAUUUGCUGAAUGUGUUUAUUUUAUUAUGCCAUUAUUUAAAUUACUGAUAUUACUAUUGUUUGUUUUGAAAUUAAUUGGAUCAUGAAGCCUCUGUUUAUGCAGUAACCCUGAUACCAGAGCAAGUGUUAAUCACAUCAACAUUAAAAAAUUCUGUGUUACUCAAAGUGAAACUUUGUACCCUGUCCCUAAAGACUUUUUUUGUUUAUUAACUUUUAGGACCCUUCCAAGUCUUACAAGAAAGCUGGAGAAGUUGCCCCAGUUGAGUUACACGUGGAAGAAGGCCCUUUGCCCAGCCAGGAGAAGCCCUUGCAGAGGCAGUCGGAGAGCACAACCUGCAGCCCCUCCAGGAAGAGAUCCACGUCAGAGAGCGCUUCUUCUCCAGGCAAGUGCUGCCCAGGAACCUGGCUUUGGGGUCCCGGGGUGCUCAGGGCUGUGCUGAGACCCAGCAUGGCUGGAGAACUUCAGCUCAUGGAGAUCCUGAGGUUUUCCAUUGAUAUAUUGGGAAUCAUGGCUGGAGAACUUCAGCUCAUGGAGAUCCUGAGGUUUGGGACAUCAUGGCUGGAGAACUUCAGCUCAUGGAGAUAUUGAGGUUUUCCACUAAUAUUUUUGGGACAUCAUGGCUGUGAGAACUUCAGCUCAUGGUGAUCCUGAGGUUCUCCUUUGAUAUUUUGGGAAUCAUGGCUGGAGAACUUCAGCUCAUGGAGAUAUUGAGGUUUUCCACUAAUAUUUUCGGGAUAUCAUGGCUGUGAGAACUUCAGCUCAUGGAAAUCCUGAGUUUUGGGACAUCAUGGCUGGAGAACUUCAGCUCAUGGAGAUAUUGAGGUUUUCCAUUGAUAUAUUGGGACAUCAUGGCUGGGAGAACUUCAGCUCAUGGAGAUCCUGAGUUGUUUCACUGAUAUUUUGGGAAUCAUGGCUGGAGAACUUCAGCUCAUGGUGAUCCUGAGGUUUUUCACUGAUAUUUUGGGACAUCAUGGCUGGAGAACAUCACCCAUGGUGAUCCUGAGUUUUGGGACAUCAUGGCUGGAGAACAUCACUCAUGGUGAUCCUGAGUUUUGGGACAUCAUGGCUGGAGAACUUCAGCUCAUGGUGAUCCUGAGUUUUCCACUGAUAUUUUCGGGAUAUCAUGGCUGGAGAACUUCAGCUCAUGGAGAUAUUGAGGUUUUCCAUUGAUAUAUUGGGACAUCAUGGCUGUGAGAACAUCACUCAUGGUGAUCCUGAGGUUUUCCAUUGAAAUCUUGGGACAUCAUGGCUGGAGAUCAUCACUCAUGGUGAUCCUGAGUUUUGGGACAUCAUGGCUGGAGAACUUCAGCUCACGGAGAUCCUGAGGUUUUUCACUGAUAUUUUGGGACAUCAUGGCUGGGAGAGAUUCAGCUCAUGGUGAUCCUGAGUUUUGGGACAUCAUGGCUGGAGAACUUCAGCUCAUGGUGAUAUUGAGGUUUUUCACUGAUAUUUUGGGACAUCAUGGCUGGAGAACUUCAGCUCAUGGAGAUAUUGAGGUUUUCCACUAAUAUUUUCGGGAUAUCAUGGCUGGAGAACUUCAGCUCAUGGAGAUCCUGAGUUUUGGGACAUCAUGGCUGGAGAACUUCAGCUCACGGAGAUCCUGAGGUUUUCCAUUGAUAUCUUGGGACAUCAUGGC
ensembl:lncRNA